GGCUCCAUCCUUUUCUCCUUCCUGUGUCCAACUUUCUCUCCUUCUUCCUAGCCUUGCCAGCAUUUCCUAAUGAAGAGUCUUCCCUGGACCGCUCCUUACGAGAAGGAAACUGAGGCUCAGAGAGAUUAAAGAUCUCCCCGGGUCACACGGCAGUGUUAGGAUUAGAACCCGGACCUCCCGGCUUCCAGUCCCAAGGCCUUUCCAUUAGACCACACUGCCUUCCCAGCUGUUGGAUGACUUCGUCGGCUGACCGCAGAGAUCUGGAAGGGAGAUCAGGUGGCCCCUGCCGAACGCCCAGCCGAAAUGGAAUGGAGAGAAAGUGACCCAGUGGUUCCCCUUCCCUGUGACCUGUGCCCCCGCAACAAUUUGGAGUCGACAACGGCAGGGACGGAGAAGCAGACGGGCGGAGGAUGGGGAGGGAGGGGACCGGCCCCGGUGACAGCCGAGAUCUCCUGGCCGGAGCAUCCCUCCCUCGGCCCCCGCCGCCUGGCCCCGCUCCGUCUCCGGAGACUUCGGGAUCGGCUGAGGAAAGGCAGUUUGUCUCCCUGCCACCAUGCUGCUUGUGCCAAGAGGAAAGCAGCUCUCCCCGUGCUCGUCAUUAUGACUGCUGUGAGAGCAGAUGGGGCAGCUCUCCUGGAAGGAACAUGGGCUUGGAAAAUUAAUUUGCCCAAACCGAAACAUAUGAAAAAUAAUUGAGCCAUUUUGCUGAGACCAGAACCCUGGGGAGUUUAACUCGUCCCCAUUACUGCGCCUCCCUGCACCGCGCCUUGUCGCUACCUGCCGCACACUGCCCCUCCCAGACCCCUAUCAGCUGCACAGCCUCCACUGCACCUCCCACACCAUUCCCCUCAGCUGCAAAUUCUGCACUGCGCCUCCCACACGACACCCCUCCAGGCCAGGCCUCUCACGGCUUCCGGAGGACUCCGCCUGCCCUGAAACUUUUUAAGACAGGAUUUCAGGCAUCUUUUAUAGGACCAAUUCUCUAGCUCCAAGGG